CUUAAAUGCUUUUAAUGAUUAAUUCUUCCUAAUUACAUUUUAGAAACUUAUUAGGUUGGAAUGGGAUGCUAUUCACGUGAUGCUUCCCUAUUUCAUUGGUGAGAAAACUGAGGAAAAAAGUUUAAGUGGCUGAGCACUGUGCUCACCUAGAACACUCCCAGUCUUAGCCUGGGGCACACAGUAGUUCUAGGACAGGAAAGGAUGCUUGCAAUUGUAGAUGAAGGUAUUUAUUCUCCAUACUUUCCUUUCUUUUCCUUUCUCUUUCUUGAAAUACAAAAAAAAAAAAUAGAAACAUCCUAAACUGGUAUUUCUUGGGCUCCUUUCAGAUGGUCCUGCCACUCCGACCUGCUGCUAUGACUUCACCAGUAAGAAGAUUCCUUCAAAGCUGGUGGUGAGCUAUGGGGUGACCAGCAGCAGAUGUGCCAAGCAAGGUGUGAUCUUUAUUACAAAACAAGGCUACAACAUCUGUGCUAACUCAAAGGAGCAGUGGGUCCAACAUGUUAUGAAGCAAUUAGACAGCAAGAAAGCCAAGACCCAGAGUUCAUGAAGGCUACUGCUACUUCCUCUUGCUGCUGCCUGCUUAGAGAUCCAAGCAGGAUGGAAGAAUAAUUUAUUUCCCUCCCACCUCGCACAGCUGUUCUGUGUAACAUUUUAUUAUAAUUUAAAUAUGUUUUGUCUUAUUUAAAUUAUUGUUUUUUUAACUUUAUGUGUCACAAGAAUUUGUGCCUUAAUCAUCAUCAUCAUCAUUAUUAUUUGUAACCUAUUCUUAGGCCAGCACUUCACCUCUGUGCCUUCACUUUCUCAUCUAUAAGAUGGACGAGGUUACAUUCCUCUCCUCCCUCUUCAUAAAGAUAUUGUGAGAAUUGUAUUAAAAAUCCAUAAGAAAGGUGUUUGGGCCUUUUGCAGGGCUGUCACACCUUUAACCCAAGGUACCGAUAAUGGAUGUUAUUAUGGAAAACAAUACUACACUACGGCUAUCGAAUUUCCGUAGACAAAUAUAUUUUUG
rnacentral:lncRNA from 1 species